AUUGAACGCUGGCGGCAUGCUUUACACAUGCAAGUCGAACGGCAGCGCGGGGCAACCUGGCGGCGAGUGGCGAACGGGUGAGUAAUAUAUCGGAACGUACCCAGAAGUGGGGGAUAACGUAGCGAAAGUUACGCUAAUACCGCAUACGAUCUACGGAUGAAAGUAGGGGACCGCAAGGCCUUAUGCUUUUGGAGCGGCCGAUAUCUGAUUAGCUAGUUGGUGAGGUAAAGGCUCACCAAGGCGACGAUCAGUAGCUGGUCUGAGAGGACGACCAGCCACACUGGAACUGAGAAACGGUCCAGACUCCUACGGGAGGCAGCAGUGGGGAAUUUUGGACAAUGGGCGCAAGCCUGAUCCAGCAAUGCCGCGUGAGUGAAGAAGGCCUUCGGGUUGUAAAGCUCUUUUGUCAGGGAAGAAACGGUAGAGGCUAAUAUCCUUUGCUAAUGACGGUACCUGAAGAAUAAGCACCGGCUAACUACGUG
rnacentral:rRNA from 1 species